rnacentral:rRNA from 1 species
AGAGUUUGAUCAUGGCUCAGGACGAACGCUGGCGGCGUGCCUCAAACAUGCAAGUCGAGCGUGGGUGCACGCUCUCGCAAGAGAGGGUGCACUCUAGCGGCGAACGGGUGAGUAACACGUGGGGAACCUGCCCUCCAGACGGGGACAACCUCGGGAAACCGGGGCUAAUACCGGAUACGUUCGCCGGGUCGCAUGGCCUGGCGAGGAAAGGGUCGCAAGAUCGCUGGAGGAGGGCCCCGCGGCCUAUCAGCUCGUUGGUGGGGUAACGGCCUACCAAGGCGAUGACGGGUAGCUGGCCUGAGAGGGUGGUCAGCCACACUGGAACUGAGAUACGGUCCAGACUCCUACGGGAGGCAGCAGUUGGGAAUCUUGGGCAAUGGGCGCAAGCCUGACCCAGCGACGCCGCGUGGGGGAUGAAGGCCUUCGGGUUGUAAACCCCUGUCAGGAGGGACGAAGCCGCAAGGUGACGGUACCUCCAGAGGAAGCCCCGGCUAACUACGUGCCAGCAGCCGCGGUAAGACGUAGGGGGCGAGCGUUGUCCGGAAUCACUGGGCGUAAAGCGCGUGCAGGCGGCCUGGUAAGUCCCGUGUGAAAGCCUACGGCUCAACUGUAGAAGGUCGCGGGAGACCGCGGGGCUCGAG